rnacentral:rRNA from 1 species
CCUGGUUGAUCCUGCCAGUAGUCAUAUGCUUGUCUCAAAGAUUAAGCCAUGCAUGUGUAAGCACACACUGUUUAAAAGUGAAGCCGCGAAUGGCUCAUUACAACAGCCACAGUUUAUUAGAACUUACAAUCAUGGAUAACUGUGGUAAUUCUAGAGCUAAUACACGCACAAAAACUUCAACUGAAUUGGUUGAAGUGCUUUUAUUAGAACAAAAACCGAACGGCGUUUGACGAAUGUUGAACGUCGAAACUGUUUGGUGAAUCUGAAUAACUAUUUCUGAUCGCAUGGUCUAGCACCGGCGACAUCACUUUCAAGUGUCUGCCUUAUCAACCUUCGAUGGUAGUCUAUGCGACUACCAUGGUGAUAACGGGUAACGGAGAAUCAGGGUUCGACUCCGGAGAGGGAGCCUGAGAAACGGCUACCACAUCCAAGGAAGGCAGCAGGCGCGCAAAUUACCCACUCCCAGCUUGGGGAGGUAGUGACGAAAAAUAACGAGACGAUUCUCGUUUGAGAAACGUUAUCGAAAUGAGUACGCUUUACACACGCUAACGAGUAGCAAUUGGAGGGCAAGUCUGGUGCCAGCAGCCGCGGUAAUUCCAGCUCCAAUAGCGNGGUCGCGACAGUGUUGCUUUGAAGAGUUUUGAGCGUGAGCUCGCUCGGAGCCGCUGUUGGUGCAGAUCUUGGUGGUAGUAGCAAAUAUUCAAGUGAGAACCUUGAAGGCUGAAGUGGAGCAAGGUUCCAUGUGAACAGCAGUUGGACAUGGGUCAGUCGAUCCUAAGAAAACGGCGAAAGCUUGUUCGAAUUUGCGACAUGAAUUGUAAGACUGUGUGAAUUGUGUGUGUGUGCAGUUGUCGUAUGUUUUCGAAAGGGAAUCCGGUUGAUAUUCCGGAACCGAGUAACGGAGACAAAGAGUAGCGCUUUAAUCUCUCUGUGGGGUUGGCGUUCAACUCAAUCGCGCGGUAACGCAAGCGAACUCGGAAAAUGACCGUCGUGAGUUUCGAAAAGAGUUUUCUUUUCUUUUUAAGGGACGCAUUCCCUGGAACCGGGUUGUCCGGAGAUAGGGAUUCUGGUAUCCAUAAAACGCCGACUUUUUCACGGUGUUCGGAGCGCUCUCGUCGGUACGUGAAAAUCCGAGCGACGCCUGGUAAAUCUCGUACUUGGUCGUACUGAUAU